CCAAAUAAAGCUUCAGUGACCUCUUUCAUGGCGGAAGCUGCUGGCUUCAGACUUUAGAGAGAAAACAGCGAUACAAGGACUCCAUGGUUGCUGGAGGUCGAGAGAAGUGGGGGAGGAGUGAGCCUGAGAGGCGAUGGUCAUCAUCGGAGAAGACAGAGAGAACCAGAAGGUUCUAGAGAGACGAAGGGUUAGAGAGCAUCUGUUAGAGAGAUAGAGAGACGGG
rnacentral:lncRNA from 1 species